rnacentral:rRNA from 1 species
AUGUGAUCGUCUCUCGCAUAUCAAUAAGCGGAGGAAAAGAAACUAACAAGGAUUCCCCUAGUAACGGCGAGUGAAGCGGGAAGAGCUCAAAUUUGAAAUCUUAAAGGGUUUCCCUUUACGAAUUGUAGUUUAAAGAAGUGUUUUCUGUUGAGGUUUUGGUAAAAGUUCUUUGGAAUAGGACAUCAUAGAGGGUGAGAAUCCCGUAUUUGACCUUUACUUUCAACUUUGUGAUACACUUUCAAAGAGUCGGAUUGUUUGGGAAUGCAGUCCAAAAUGGGUGGUAAAUUUCAUCUAAAGCUAAAUAUUGGCGAGAGACCGAUAGCGAACAAGUACCGUGAGGGAAAGAUGAAAAGAACUUUGAAAAGAGAGUUAAACAGUACGUGAAAUUGUCAAAAGGGAAGCGUUUGACACCAGUGUUGUUUUUCUGAAAAUCAAUUAAAGAACUGUUUAUGCUAAGCUGUUUAGACUUUAUCAGCUAUCUGUUUAGUUUUGAGCUUUUCUUUAAUGCACUUUUCAGUUAACAAGUCAACAUCAAUUUCUUUUGCUGUAAAAAAGCUUGAGGAAGGUGGCUUGAGAUUCGUCUUAAGUGUUUAUAGCCUCUUGCCUAUGCAGUCGGAGAGAUUGAGGUCUGCAGCGUAGAUCCUUCGGGGCUAAAUGCAUUUGUGCUAAGUUAUAGCAUUUUAUAGACAACUUGUUGACUAUGAUUUGUCUUGUAGCUUACUCGCUUAUGUUAUUUUACCUACGCUUAGGAUGUUGAGUAGCGACAUACGCAC